AAAAGCCCAUGCAUCCAUGAAGCUACUCAAUAUGGAGGUAUCAAGCAACGCAUUUUGCACUCUUUAGUUCCAAGCAGAGAAGAAAGGAGGAGCCAACUUGCUUUGGUCUGUCUGCAGCUUCUGAGGGCAAAGCGUCACACUCCUGCAUUACCAGUUUGAUGAUCGAGGAAGCAGAUCAGACUGCCAAUCUAAGUUUCUGCUAUCUCGAGCUUCUUGUCUGCUGUCUGCUGUAAGGUGGUGCCGAUGAGUUAGAUUGAUCCAACUUGCAGCUGAUUCUCUCUCAUGGUCUUCAGCAGAGGAACCCAUCCUGUGAUUCCUGAUUCCUGAGUAGUUAUUCCCGUCAUUUGAAGAUUUGUUAAGUGAGGCAGCUGCAUUCAUCUCUUGGCUGGUCUUGGACAGAGAAAUUGAUCAUGAGUCCGGUCCUCGUCAGUUGAUUAUGGCUUAACUUUGCUGCUGCUUUCCUUUCUUGGUCUUGGGCAGAUCAUGAGUUCUGUUGGAUACGAGGGCGUAAUGUGAUGCUCGUUGGUUUUGCUGCUUCUUUUUGAGAAACCGGGUUUCGUUGCUUCUAGUUGCACACGAUUGUAUAUUGAAAAAAGAAGGGAACUGUGAUCCAAGUUUCUGUUCUCUCGAGCUUCACUCCCCUGCUGUCUGUUGAGGUGGUGCCAAGAUCGUGAACGGAUUGGUUAGAUUGAUCAGAUUUGCAGCUGAUUUUCUCUCUGGGUCUUCGACGGAGAACAGUUGAAGAUUUAUAAAGUUUUAAGCUGCUUUUGCCUCUUUCUUGGCCUUGAACGGAGGAAUUCAUCAUGAGUAGUACUCACCAGUUCAUGAUUGGUUAAAUUUGCUGCUGAAUAUCUCUCUUGAUCUUCGUGAGAGGAAUUCAUCAUGAAUAGUGGUGUUCGGAAGUCGGUGCAUAGAUCAUCGAUGGCGAAGAAGUGCUACGCCAGGAGUAUACGACGAGUGGCCGGAGUGUCAGGCCCAGGUGUACCAGUUUCCGGUUUUCGAGCGACAGCCAGUAGUUAGUUUAGGUUCACGCUAAAGCGAGAGAGGGAUACGAACUCAUGUACUACAUAGUUCCGCUCUCACUCAUAGUGAUAUCUCUUCUCACGUAUAUCAUUGUUUAGAUUGAUGACGAUGUA